AGCCAGACUCCUACGGGAGGCAGCAGUGGGGAAUAUUGCACAAUGGGGGAAACCCUGAUGCAGCGACGCCGCGUGAGUGAAGAAGUAUUUCGGUAUGUAAAGCUCUAUCAGCAGGGAAGAAGUUGACGGUACCUGAGUAAGAAGCCCCGGCUAACUACGUGCCAGCAGCCGCGGUAAUACGUAGGGGGCAAGCGUUAUCCGGAUUUACUGGGUGUAAAGGGAGCGUAGACGGCAGUGCAAGUCUGAAGUGAAAGCCCCGGGCUUAACCCGGGAACUGCUUUGGAAACUGUACGGCUGGAGUGCUGGAGAGGUAAGCGGAAUUCCUAGUGUAGCGGUGAAAUGCGUAGAUAUUAGGAGGAACACCAGUGGCGAAGGCGGCUUACUGGACAGUAACUGACGUUGAGGCUCGAAAGCGUGGGGAGCAAACAGGAUUAGAUACCCUAGUAA
rnacentral:rRNA from 1 species